AGUGAUGUUUGGUUCUAAACAAUGGUGCCUCGUACAGUUUCCUAGUUCAAGUCUUCAUCUGUAUGUAUGUUCAACCAGCAACUACAGUUUGGCUUGGGCAGUAGCUCAGGCUUCGAUUUAAACUAUUUGCUUUCAAUAUUGGCAAGUUGACUUGUACUUUGAAGGUCUACUGUAUGCCUCAAGUUUAUUUCUGGUGGUCUUGAGAAGUACCCUCUUUGUCUUGGAUCUUUUCUUCAACAUUAUCUUUUGCAUCAGACUCAAUGUUUAUGUCGUAAUAGAGAUGGAAAUAUGUAGAAAUUAUAUCGAUAUACAAAGUACAGGUAAAGUCAAGUUGCUUCUCUUCGUCUUCAUUUUUUUUCCUCUCUAAUCUUUUGUUUAGAGUAAACCAAUAAGGUUCUCUUAUAGGUGAUCAGCAAAGCUGAUAUCAGGACCUUUGGCACGCAUUUAGUAUCUUUUUGGUUUAGUUUGAUUUUUAAUUAUCUUACAACUAUUACCUUUUAAUCAAGUUUCAACGUUUUACAAUCCAAAAAAUAAAAGUGCUCCUACAUAAGAGGACAGAAAAUAAUGUUAGAGAAAAGCAAAAAAAAAGAAAGAAAAAA
rnacentral:lncRNA from 1 species